CCAGCCGCGUCACCGCCCUCCACAAGACCAAGCAGUCUGGCCUCCUAAGACAGCCCUCAUUGAGCUGUUGAGGUUAACGACAGCACACGCGGAGCCGAGGCCAUCCUCUUGAGUGUUGGCCCAACACAACACUCAGUCUGGUGCCAAGGUUAAGAGUGAUGACUGCGUGAGUGGCGCUGCUUCCCUCAGUACCUCGGUGGUUAGUGACGCAGAGGACCUGAGGGACACCAUUUUGUAGGAACAAAUAUUGUGUCUGGCUCUCCUCGGCUUGUUGCGGGUGUCGUCACGCUGCCUCACUGCUACACGCAAACCCUCAGUGAGCCAAGGCGCUGCAGGUCUGCUUGCUGCCUUAGUUACUAAAGGAGCACACGCAUCCAGACAACUCAUCAUCAACCCGACCUGAGCCGACUGUGGGAGUGACAAAUGGUUCCCUGGACGCCGUGUGUCACCGGAUUGCAGGCGAGCGUCAGGCGGACCAUGAGUCGGGACGCUGGCAAGUCCGUUGACCAGAACCUGACCAGGAAAAUUCAAGAAGCGUGGCCUUGACCUUGCUCAGCAGUUGUGCCCUCACCUGACCUACGUUAUGUUGCUCUGCGUUCAUUGUUUCUGGCAAAGUGAGUUAGUGCAGCCGUGCCUUCAGUGUGUCACCAUAAUUUGCAAGCAGUCGAUUUCCUGCUCUACUUUACCAGGUGGUAUUUGUUUUGAAAGAGAGUUGAGAAGUGGAUUAUGUCAUGCUCUCAACCUAAAUUUUAUACUUCUUUAUUCAUAACUGCAUCAACAGACCACCUGGGAAAAGUAAUGCUUUGUGCCUCUGUUUGUUUUCAUUUCACGACACGGCAGGAAGGGAGAGCACGACCACAGAGCAAAGAAUUCAAGAGAUACCUCUUUCUAUUCUGGGAAAAUAGGAUGCGUAUUUCUGGUCGUCCUUCAGAGAAGCUAAUGUUAUACAUGCGUAUGCCAUUUAAAUUCAGCGAAGAAAUUUGAGAAAUACUUCUGGAAAAUGUUUUAACGAGCUCCUAUCGUUAAAUCUUCAUAAGAAACGUUUGCACCAUAAAGUAACGAAAUUUUAAGCCUCACAUCCAGCAUCAGAGACCAUAAGAGCCACAGCAAGGUGUAUUCGAGGAACAGUGUUAAGAUGUGUAUAAACAAAGUAAAAUAUACGUAGUGCUGACAGGCAUCACAGAAAAGAAAACUUGUAAUAACAUUUCAAAGGAAAAACUUUUAACCAGUACAGUGUUGCGCUUUGUCAGAGAUAGUGGUCUUGUCAGGCUGCAUUUCUUUUUCCUAAGCUUCUUAUUUACCCCGUAAAAUGACAGAAAAGGGAAAAUAACA